UACGUAGGGUCCGAGCGUUGUCCGGAAUUAUUGGGCGUAAAGGGCUCGUAGGCGGUUCGUCACGUCGGGAGUGAAAACUCGGAGCUUAACUCCGAGCCUGCUUCCGAUACGGGCAGACUAGAGGUAGGCAGGGGAGAGCGGAAUUCCUGGUGUAGCGGUGGAAUGCGCAGAUAUCAGGAGGAAUACCGGUGGCGAAGGCGGGUCUCUGGGCAGUAACUGACGCUGAGGAGCGAAAGCGUGGGGAGCGAACAGG
rnacentral:rRNA from 1 species